rnacentral:rRNA from 1 species
AUUGAACGCUGGCGGCAUGCCUUACACAUGCCAGUCGAGCGGUAACAGGUCUUCGGAUGCUGACGAGUGGCGAACGGGUGAGUAAUACAUCGGAACGUGCCCGAUCGUGGGGGAUAACGAGGCGAAAGCUUUGCUAAUACCGCAUACGAUCUACGGAUGAAAGCGGGGGAUCUUCGGACCUCGCGCGGACGGAGCGGCCGAUGGCAGAUUAGGUAGUUGGUGGGAUAAAAGCUUACCAAGCCGACGAUCUGUAGCUGGUCUGAGAGGAUGAUCAGCCACACUGGGACUGAGACACGGCCCAGACUCCUACGGGAGGCAGCAGUGGGGAAUUUUGGACAAUGGGCGAAAGCCUGAUCCAGCCAUGCCGCGUGCAGGAUGAAGGCCUUCGGGUUGUAAACUGCUUUUGUACGGAACGAAAAGCCUCUUUCUAAUAAAGAGGGGUCAUGACGGUACCGUAAGAAUAAGCACCGGCUAACUACGUG